UACGUAGGGGUCGAGCGUUGUCCGGAGUUACUGGGCGUAAAGCGUGUGCAGGCGGCUCAUUGCGCCCGGCGUGAAAGCCCCCGGCUCAACCGGGGAGAGUCGUCGGGGACGGGUGAGCUUGAGGGUAUCAGGGGCUGGUGGAAUUCCCGGUGUAGUGGUGAAAUGCGUAGAUAUCAGGAGGAACACCGGUGGCGAAGGCGGUUCUCUGGGCAUGAUCUGACGCUGAGGAGCGAAAGUGUGGGGAGCGAACAGG
rnacentral:rRNA from 1 species